rnacentral:rRNA from 1 species
UAGGAUUCCCUUAGUAGCGGCGAGCGAACAGGGAGAAGCCCAGCACCGAAUCCCGCGGCCGAAACCGGACGCAGGGAAAUGUGGUGUUAGGGAGGGUCCGUCAUCCCGAGGUCGUGCGGUGCGUCCAAGUCCUUCUUGAACGGGGCCACAACCCGUAGAGGGUGCCAGGCCCGUAGUGACCGCUGCCGAUCGCGGGAGGAUCUCUCCUCAGAGUCGGGUUGCUUGAGAGUGCAGCCCUAAGUGGGUGGUAAACUCCAUCUAAGGCUAAAUAUGACCACGAGACCGAUAGCGAACAAGUACCGUGAGGGAAAGUUGAAAAGAACUUUGAAGAGAGAGUUCAAUAGUACGUGAAACCGUUCAGGGGUAAACCUGAGAAACCCGAAAGGUCGAAAGGGGAGAUUCAGCGUGUCUCGGUUUGACUGUUUCCGUUCCGUUAGUGCGACGGUGUGGGCGCGUACUCUGUGCGUGUCUGUCCGCGUCUUCGGUUCGUGAAUCGGUCUCGAACGCGUGCACUUCUCCCCCUGUAGGACGUCGCGAUCCGUCGGGUGCAGGUCUAAGGUCCGCGGUGGAGUCCGUCCGGACGGCUUUGCCGUCGUUCCGGACGAACCCGUGGUAAUUCCCGGCCUGCACGCUCGACGGUAUGAAUGAGGCGUGGAGCCGCUAUCAUUUGAUGGCGUCCGGCACGUGGCAAGCGCUUCUGUCUUGUGUCGGUGAUCGGACCUGGUGCCGGUCCCUUCGGCGUGAAGACUGUUGGUCGCGUUGUUCUCGGACAGACUCCUCCUCGUACAUCAUUUAUGGUGUGCGGGAAGAAAGCCGAUCUGCGACGCUAUAGCUUUGGGUACUUUCAGGACCCGUCUUGAAACACGGACCAAGGAGUCUAGCAUGUGCGCAAGUCAUUGGGACUUGUUUAAACCUAAAGGCGAAAUGAAAGUGAAGGUCCGCCUUGUGCGGACCUAGGGAGGAUGGGCGGUCGUUACGGUUACCGCCUCGCACUCCCGGGGCGUCUCAAUCUCAUUGCGAGAAGAGGCGCACCAAGAGCGUACACGCUGGGACCCGAAAGAUGGUGAACUAUGCCUGGUCAGGACGAAGUCAGGGGAAACCCUGAUGGAGGUCCGUAGCGAUUCUGACGUGCAAAUCGAUCGUCGGAACUGGGUAUAGGGGCGAAAGACUAAUCGAACCAUCUAGUAGCUGGUUCCCUCCGAAGUUUCCCUCAGGAUAGCUGGCGCUUGUAGCGUACGAGUUUCAUCCGGUAAAGCGAAUGAUUAGAGGCAUUGGGGUCGAAACGGCCUCAACCUAUUCUCAAACUUUAAAUGGGUGAGAUCUCCGGCUUGCUCGAACAUACAUAAUGCACCACCCUUUGCGGGGAGGUGCUCAUUGUAGACGACGUGGAUUUUUUCUGCGUCGCUUCUGAAGCCGCGAGUAUAGAAUCAGAGUGCCAAGUGGGCCAUUUUUG